GGGGUUGUGGCUCAGUGGUAGAGUAUUUGCCUAGCAUGCAUAAGGCACUGGGUUCAAUCCCCAGCAGCACAU
rnacentral:tRNA from 1 species